CCACUUGGUCCAUAAUAAGCACUAUUAAAAAAGCUAUAUAUAACUUUUGUGAUAACACAGUCUCUAGGUUUUUCUCUUACCUCUCCUCAGUCAGUAUCUUAGG